UGCUGAAUAGAUGGAGUUGGUUUGCUUUCCUCAUCCAUACCUAAGGUAUAGAGCAAAUUGUUCCCGUGUUGCUAACAAACUGGAACCGUUUUUUCUCAGACGCUUCACAGGAUUGUUGCACAUCAUGUGAUAUGACUAUUUUUGUGUCAAAACAGCAAUUAUCCUGUGAAGCGUCUGAGCUUGCUGAGAUAAAGUCAAGCAGAGAGUCAUGGCAUAAUAUCACGUGACCUGCAGCCGGCACGAA
rnacentral:sRNA from 2 species